rnacentral:rRNA from 1 species
CCUACGGGUGGCUGCAGUGGGGAAUAUUGCGCAAUGGACGAAAGUCUGACGCAGCGACGCCGCGUGAGGGAUGAAGGUCUUCGGAUCGUAAACCUCUGUCAGCAGGGAAGUACGAUGACUGUGCUAAUCAGCAGUGAAUUGACGGUACCUGCAAAGGAAGCACCGGCUAACUCCGUGCCAGCAGCUGCGGUAAUGCGGAGGGUGCGAGCGUUGAUCGGAAUUACUGGGCGUAAAGGGCUCGUAGGCGGUAUGUCAAGUCAAGGGUGAAAUCCCCGCGCUCAACGGGGGAACUGACUUUGAAACUGGCAGACUGGAGUGUGUGAGAGGAUAGUGGAAUUCCAGGUGUAGGAGUGAAAUCCGUAGAUAUCUGGAGGAACAUCAGUGGCGAAGGCGACUAUCUGGCCCAUAACUGACGCUGAGGAGCGAAAGCGUGGGUAGCAAACAGGAUUAGAUACCCCAGUAGUC